rnacentral:rRNA from 1 species
UCUUUCCUCCCGAGCUGCUGGCCUCAUUGGAAAGAGGAGUGGUGGUAUGAGUUGAGUAACACGUGGGUAACCUACCCAUCAGAGGGGGAUAACACUUGGAAACAGGUGCUAAUACCGCAUAACAGUUUAUGCCGCAUGGCAUAAGAGUGAAAGGCGCUUUCGGGUGUCGCUGAUGGAUGGACCCGCGGUGCAUUAGCUAGUUGGUGAGGUAACGGCUCACCAAGGCCACGAUGCAUAGCCGACCUGAGAGGGUGAUCGGCCACACUGGGACUGAGACACGGCCCAGACUCCUACGGGAGGCAGCAGUAGGGAAUCUUCGGCAAUGGACGAAAGUCUGACCGAGCAACGCCGCGUGAGUGAAGAAGGUUUUCGGAUCGUAAAACUCUGUUGUUAGAGAAGAACAAGGACGUUAGUAACUGAACGUCCCCUGACGGUAUCUAACCAGAAAGCCACGGCUAACUACGUGCCAGCAGCCGCGGUAAUACGUAGGUGGCAAGCGUUGUCCGGAUUUAUUGGGCGUAAAGCGAGCGCAGGCGGUUUCUUAAGUCUGAUGUGAAAGCCCCCGGCUCAACCGGGGAGGGUCAUUGGAAACUGGGAGACUUGAGUGCAGAAGAGGAGAGUGGAAUUCCAUGUGUGGCGGUGAAAUGCGUAGAUAUAUGGAGGAACACCAGUGGCGAAGCGGCUCUCUGGUCUGUAACUGACGCUGAGGCUCGAAAGCGUGGGGGAGCAAACGGGAUUAGAUACCCUGGUAGUCCACGCCGUAAACGAUGAGUGCUAAGUGUUGGAGGGUUUCCGCCCUUCAGUGCUGCAGCAAACGCAUUAAGCACUCCGCCUGGGG